rnacentral:rRNA from 1 species
AUGAACGCUGGCGGCGUGCCUAAUACAUGCAAGUCGAGCGAACGGACGAGAAGCUUGCUUCUCUGAUGUUAGCGGCGGACGGGUGAGUAACACGUGGCUAACCUACCUAUAAGACUGGGAUAACUUCGGGAAACCGGAGCUAAUACCGGAUAAUAUUUUGAACCGCAUGGUUCAAAAGUGAAAGACGGUCUUGCUGUCACUUAUAGAUGGAUCCGCGCUGCAUUAGCUAGUUGGUAAGGUAACGGCUUACCAAGGCAACGAUGCAUAGCCGACCUGAGAGGGUGAUCGGCCACACUGGAACUGAGACACGGUCCAGACUCCUACGGGAGGCAGCAGUAGGGAAUCUUCCGCAAUGGGCGAAAGCCUGACGGAGCAACGCCGCGUGAGUGAUGAAGGUCUUCGGAUCGUAAAACUCUGUUAUUAGGGAAGAACAUAUGUGUAAGUAACUGUGCACAUCUUGACGGUACCUAAUCAGAAAGCCACGGCUAACUACGUG